GGAACGCAGAUGGUAGAGGAGACUGACGGGCAUUCAUUCUGUCAUCAGUUUGCAUUACAAUAGAACGUACUCGUAGAUCUGUGGCAGCUGGAGUCCGUAGCCUACAAGCGCUCGCAUACAAAAUACAGACAUCUGUGGGUUAAUUCCUCGUGCCAUCCAAACACUCCUUUGUCCAGGCUUCAGUCUUGUUAUUUACUCUCCAUAAUUAACCGCCCAUCAGAGGCAGCUGCUCGGCACUCACCCGACCUCUCUGCUCAAGGCAAACUGACGCACUCCACGGGUAAAUUGGAAUAGGUUUUUGUGCGCUGCGCAUCACAAAACCAUUGAUGAUAAAGAUUCGCUUUUCAUUCAGAAUAUCUAUACUAUAUAUCACUGACAAUUUUGUACAUCGCUCAUUCUAUCCGAAGAGGAUUAGAGUCGGACACAGUUGGAGCUCUUUAUCGCGCCACCCUUGCUGACACAGAUGGUGCGAGACAGGUGCAUUUUGGACCAAUGGUCAAACUUGCAUCAAUGCAAAAGUGGCCAAACCCACAGCCCAGCUGGCAGGACGCACGUCCCCAUGACAACUGGGAUUCCCUGGGGUCCCUGAUGGACUGAUGAAUACAGGAGUAGGGAGACAGGUAUGCGUCCAGUAUAUCCACACAUAUUGAAGGGGUUCUUCUAAAGACAGAGGAUUAACCACUGGUGGUAAUGAUGUCUUGUAGGCUCCAUUCCUCCAUGAAAUUUGUAUUGACUAUUGUUUGUAUUAGGGGAGCUACCUUAGCAAGAUAUUCAUUUCAAUUAGGUCAGUUUAAGGUAAAACAUUUCAAAUAAGAUUAAAAAAAGGUUAAUCAAGUCAGUUAGUAACUGUUCCUAAUCACCUAUGAUUCUGGGAACUUUAUUUACCCUUCCCUCCUGCAUCCAAUGGUAUUUUUUGGCAGUAGUCAAGUCCAACGGUCCAGCCUCUGCUUGGUAGGGUUUUGGGGGCAGGUGUUCCAGGGGGUUGCGUUCCACUUUCUGCUGCUCGCUGCUCUGUGUUUCUCUCCAGAUAUGCUGAGGAGGAUACUGAGAUGGUGCCAGCCCUCAGAGGCCAUUUAGACGAGUCAACAACAUGACCAGACUGACAGAGCUGUCUACAAAGCUGUUUUCUAAACAGUUGUCAACGCGGUUCAUCCUUACCGAAUUGGAACUGGGACGGGAACUGGGACCUAUGGCUUUCACCCACUGACGAAUGAGCAUUACUACAAGGCUACUGACGGAGCUCACUUCUUUUGCUAUCGAUUUGUGUUAGAAGGAGACCUUGCAGUGAUUAUUAUUGUUAAUAUUAUUAUUUGAAGUACCAUUGGCACGUUGCUGGACCCUUUAAUUGUAGUCUAUUUUAUGCGGACGUCAUUCAGGACGUCAUUCAAGACCACAUUUCAUGCCAUAAGAAAUACCCAUAAAGGGUGGGGUUUUAGUGUUGUCUGAUGCUUUGGCGCUUUCUUUUCCUUAAAUAUUGUUUACCUGAGGGAGCUCUCUCCCCUUCUCUGUAAAAUAACACAUUAUCAUCCCCUUCCACACUGUUCAGCUGAUCAAAGCAGAGAGAGACUAACACCUCUCUCUGAUGCCUGCUUCUCCUCAUGCUGUCAGCACCUUUCUCUUCUCGGUAACCUUGGCAACACUUUUAACACCUUACUUCAAUCUACCUCUGAUGUCUAACAUGAAUAACAAGGUUGAGUCUGCUGAGAUGGCCUUCCUGCUAAUUUAAUUGAUGCGCUCCUAAAGGCGUCAGCAUGCUUCAGUUUGGCUGACGGCUUCCGAAGUCGGCUAGGCAAACCGAACAAGUGUGCUUGCAUCCUCCCUUAAAAGACCUUCACUUGGAAAACAAUAAAAAAGCGGCAAUAGUACCGAUUGUCCAUUUUGACAUGCCGUAGCCAGUAUAAACUUCCUCAAAAUAUUCAGAAUGAAUCUAAGAUAACUCAAGAAAUCUGUUAUAAAAUUUGACGUUUUUGCGGAGGAGAUCUUAGUCGCGCAAUUUUAUGUCUAACUGAUAUGUUUGGUGCAGUAUUUCUCAAUGAAAACAUUUGCAUGAAAACAUGUCGUCUCUCGUUGAAUUACAACAAAGACUUUAUUGAAGAAUCCCUAAUGUUGACCAAUCACCAACGAAGGAGCGUAGAUUUCGGCUACCGACUUCGGCUUGCCACUAGAAAAAAUGUGUGCUCGAACAGCCGAAAAAACCCUUACCAAAGUCCAGAACGAACAAAAACGUCACAAAAUGAUGUCAUAAUAUAUGCACAAAUUCUAUUGAACUGUUUUGGCUGGGAAGUAUGCGGAUGUCUUAACCCAGCUGACAUACCCAUACCAUUCCAGCAGCUAAUGCUUGUUAUCAUUAGUCUACUCUAACGUUACAGGAAUGUUAUGAGGAUGUUACGACUUUAAUAGGGUUGUGUCAGUGUUUGUGUCAGUGUUUGGAUGGUCUCCCGAGGCAUGGUUUGUCUUGUGAUUGCUGCAUGUACUGGAACUCCCAAUAACCUCAGCUAGAGUCAUAUAGAACUAACCAACACCAGAGUAAUCCUGGUUUGCUAACCUGGACUAACAAUCUAACAGUCACUAAUCAAGCUAAUCAACCAAACUAAAACCCAAGCCCCGUUGAGGGGAGGACAGCUCAUAUGAAAGUCCAGAACGGAGCAAAUGGAAUGGUAUCAAACACAUGGAAACCAUAUAUUUGAUGUAUUUGAUACCAGUCUAUUCAUUCCGCUCCAGCCAUGAGCCCGUCCUCCCAAUUGAAGAUGCCAACAAAGUCCUGUGGUGUAGGUGUACAUUUUGAGUUUAAGAGUGGGGGUCUUAGAGUAAUUAAUUUCCUUACCCCCUGAAACCAAACCAUCAGCUCUCUUGGCAUUCCUUAAUAAAUACACUAACAAAUACCCUCUAAUACCUAACAGUACUAAUGUCUGGUAACAGAUAUUUUGUUACUUAUACUAACCUGUACUAUACUAACUUGUACCUCUCCCAUUUUCCUGAAACCCUUCUUCCACCAGACACAGAUCACCCAAAAUCAUAUACAAUAACUAUGUAUUUAUGUAUCUGUUAUACCCUUAAGCUCAGUAUGUUGCUUGUUGAGACGUUUUACUUUUGGCCCCUAAAACAACGGUGAGAAUGAUUCCAGGAUCUGGGAUGGGAAGCUGGAUUAACCAAUAGAUUUAAAGACAAAGCGCACCUACCUACCUGUAGCUCACUGGGUUGACCACACACUUCUGCUCAGGGGGACGCCUAAAAACAUGUUACAAAUGUUUCAGUAACUAUGUUAAAGAAUUGUAUUAUUUUUGUAAAAAGUGUUCCAGUUUAACAUAAUGGCUGACAAAUGUUUGUCCCCCUUUCUAUUGUGUGGCCAACCCCUAAAAGGUGUUGCAGCUCAGUGCUUGGUUUGUAGCCUGCAUAGACACAUGUGUACUCUCUUAUUAGAUAAACCAAAGCAAAUAGCAACCCUUACCUGCUUUACUACUAACUGAGUGGUGACUGGUACUAACAACAACCCUGGACGAGGCCUAACAAUUUGGCCAUUGAUUUCUUGCUCUUACUAACAUACUGUAUCUUCUCUAAGACUAACGUGUGGCGCUUCUUUCAAUGCUGUCUAACCAUGCUGCGACCAACUUAUCAUCCAUCACUUCACCCUGCAGUAUCUUUUCUUUACUUCCUGAGUCGUCAUGAGGAUAGACAUCCCUGUGUCCUUGAUCGUGUGACACUUCAAUAACCUGCACUAGAGUGAGAAAGCACUAACUAUUGGGGCAUGAAACAGCUUCCCAGAAACUAACAAACUAACUAACCUACUAAUUAACUAAUUAUCUAACAAACUAACUGAAAUGACUAAUGUUGUGCUGAGAGUUAUCAGGUUUUGAGGUUUUGGUUCAGCAAGCCAUCCCCCUCUCUAGUGUGUGUGUGUGUGUGUACGUGUGCAUGUAUUGUAUGCUGCAACUAGCUCUCACAGUCUCACGUCAGAAUUAGACGUUCAUCCAUGUUUCUUAAACAUCACAUUUCAAAUUUCUUCCAAACUUCAAAUUUCAAAGUGUUUAAAGGUUAAGGUUAGGAAUAGGCUUAAAACAAAAAUCUCUAAAACAACUUCAUAUUGAGGGAUUUGAACAUGCAACCUUUGUGACACGAGGCAGAUGCCAUUUGCCAUCUGCCAAAACUGAAACCUACUUGAAUCUAACAGCGCUCACUGUUGCCCCUAGAGGCCAGUUUCCACAUCAUCUCCCGAUGUCCUCAGACAUGGAAGGACGUUGAAUACUGACUUGUAUCAAGGGUGACCUGGCUAGCAGACCUGUGGUUAUUAAUACUAACCUGUACUGUGGAUGAUGUUGGCUGGGCUUGUAAUUUCAAACACAUUAACAUUAACUACUCUUUGCUUUGUGCACAGAGUCUGAGACAGAAUCUUUUCCCAUUUUCCUGAAACCUUUCUUCCACCAGACACACAUCACCCAAAAUCAUAUACAAUAACUGUGUAUUUAUCUAUCUGUUAUAACCUUAAGCUCAUUAUGUUGCUUGUUGAGAAAUGUUACUUUUGGCCCCUAAAGCGCAACGGUGAGAAUGAUUCCAGGAUCUGGGAUGGGAAGCUGGAUUAACCAAUAGAUUUAAAGACAAAGCGCACCUACCUACCUGUAGCUCACUGGGUUGACCACACACUUCUGCUCAGGGGGGACGCAUACAAACAAAAUCUUUGUUACAAAUGUUUCAGUAACUAUGCUAAAGAUGAUUAUUUUUGAAGUUGUCCAUCUUAAUAGUUUAACAAAUAAUGGCUGACAAAUGUUUGUACCCUUGUCCAUUGUGUGGCCAACCUCUAAAAGCUCAGUGCUUGGUUUGUAGCCUGCAUAGACACUGAUGUGUACUCUCUUAUUAGAUAAACCAAAGCAAAUAGCAACCCUUACCUGCUUUACUACUAACUGAGUGGUGACUGGUACUAACAACCCCAGAUGAGGCCUAAGAAUUUGGCCAUUGAUUCUUUGCUCUUACGCAGGUUGACGUUUAUUGUCAUGAGUCUUGUCCUGGAGGCAGAACUGAGCGAUUUCCCCUUAGAUAAGCCAGCUGCAAAGUCAAAAUUGUCUAUAUUGUAAAAAUAAACGUUUUUGCUUUUUGGUCAUUAGCACUAACAGUGUGGGUAAGGAAAGGUUUAACAUCAGAUUUCAUGACUUUGUGGUUGUGCUACCUAGUGACCACUCUGCAGAGCGGACUCCAGAACAACAUUCAUGACGAAAAACACUAACCUGCUGCUCUUACUAACAUGCUGUAUCUUCUCUCAGACUAACAUGUGUCGCUUCUUUCAAUGCUGUCUAAGCAUGCUGCGACCAACUUAUCACGCAUCACUUCACCCUGCCCCUUGGUGAGAUCAAACAGCGUCUAGUAGGCCAUGCUGUAGCUUUUCUUUACUUCCUGAGUUGUCAUGAGGAUAAACAUCCCUGUGUCCUUGAUCGUGUGACACUUUACUAACCUGCACUGGAGUGAGAAAGCACUAACUAUUGGGGCAUGAAACAGCUUCCCACAAACAAACUAACAAACUAACUAACCUACUAAUUAACUAAUUAUCUAACAAACUAACUGAAAUGACUAAUGUUGUGCUGAGAGUUAUCAGGUUUUGAGGUUUUGGUUCAGCAAGCCAUCCCCCCGUGUGUGUGUGUGUGUGUGUGUGUGUGUGUGUGUGUGUGUGUGUGUGUGUGUGUGUGUACAUUGAUUCUCAAACUGUGUGUAUGAUGCCGUCAUUGUUUUUGUCUGAAUGAGUGUUAAGGAUUCAGCAUGCUUCAGUUCGGCUGGCGCCUAGAACCGAAUGAGUGUGCUCGCAUACUCACUUAAAAGACCUUUGCUUGAAAACUUUAAAAAGCAGCAAUAGUACUGUUUGUCAAUUUGAGGUGCCAUAGCCAGUACACACUUCCUUAAAAUAGUCGGAAUUAAUCGAAGAUAAUUCAAGAAAUCUGUCAUUAAUUUAGACUUUUUUGCAGAGGAGAUCUUAGUCAUGCAAUUUUACAUCGAAGAUUUUUGGUGCAGUAUUUCUCAAUGAAUACAUGUGCAUGAAAACGAGUCGUCUAUGAUUAAAUAACAAUAAAGACUUUAUUGAAGAAACCCUACGGUUGACCAAUCACUGAUGAAUGGGGGUUAACUUUGUCUCAGAACUUCGGCUUGCCUCUAGAAUUUUUUGGAUGUGUCAGAACAGCCGAAAAACCCCCAACGAAGUCCAAAACGAACAAAAACGUCACAUAAAGUCUUCAUAAUAUAUGCACAAACUCUUCCGAGCUGUUUCGGCUGGGAAGCAUGCGGACGCCUUAAGUGUGUAUGUUUUUCUGUCAGUUUUUUCUACAGAGUAACGUAAUGCUAUAGCAAUAUUGUCUUCACCCACUAUUUACACAAAUGACUGAUGAUUGGCUGAGAGAAAUUGAUGAUAAAAUGAUUGUAGAUUCUGUUUUGUUAGACUUCAGUGCGGCUUUUGACAUUAUCGAUCAUAGUCUGCUGCUGGAAAAACGUAUGUGUUAUGGCUUUACAACCCCUGCUAUAUCGUGGAUAAAUAGUUACCUAUCUAACAGAACACAGAGGGUGUUUUAAUGGAAGCCUCUCAAGCAUAAUCCAGGUAGAAUCAGGAAUUCCCCAGGGUGGCCCGUUACUUUUUUCAAUCUUUAGUAACGACAUGCCACUGGCUUUACUCAAUUGCGGAUGACUCAAGACUAUACACGUCAGCUACUACAGCGACUGAAAUGACUGCAACACUUAACAAAGAGCUGCAGUUAGUUUCAGGAUGGGUGGCAAGGAAUAAGAUCGUCCUAUAUUUUUCUUAAACUUAAAGCAUUGUAUUUGGGACAAAUCAUUCACUAAACCCUAAACCUCAACUAAAUCUUGUAAUAAAUAAUGUGGAAAUUGAGCAAGUUGAGGUGACCUAACUGCUUGGAGUAACCCUGGAUUGUAAACUGUCAUGGUCAAAACAUAUUGAUAGAACAGAAGCUAAGAUGGGGAAACGUCUGUCCAUAACAAACCGUUGCUCUGCCUUCUUAAUAACAACACUAUCAACAAGGCAGGUCCUACAUGCCUUAGUUUGUCGCACUUGGACUACUGUUCAGUCGUGUGGUCAGGUGCCACAGAGAGGGACUUAGGAAAAUGACAAUUGGCUCAGAACAGGGCAGCAUGGCUGGCCCUUGGAUGUACACAGAGAGCUAACAUUAAUAAUAUGCAUGUCAAUCUCUCCUGGCUCAAAGUGGAGAUUGACUACACCACUACUUGUAUUUGUGAGGGGUAUUGACAUGUUGAAUGCACCGAGCUGUCUGUUUGAACUAAUGGAGCACAGCUCGGACACAGUUCGGACACCCAUGUACAAGACAUGCCACAAGAGGUCUCUUCAGAGACCCCAAGUCCAGAACAGACUAUGGGAGGUGCACAAUACUACAUAGAGCCAUGACUACAUGGAACUCUAUUCAACAUCAAGUAACUGAUGGAAGUAGUAAAAUUUGAUGUAAAAAACAGAUAAAGUUCACCUUAUGGAACAGCAGGGACUGUGAAGCAACACAAACAUAGGCACAUACACUUGCAUACACACACACAAUAACAUACGCACUAUAUACACACACAUAAACAGGGACUUUGUAUUGUAGAUAUGUGGUAGGGGAGUAGGAGCCUGAGGGCACACAGUAUGUUGAGAAAUCUGUUGUGAAUGUAUUGUAAUGUUUUUAAAAUUGUAUAACUACAUUCAUUUUGCUGGACUCCAGGAAGAGUAGCUGCUGUUUGGCAGCAGCUAAUGGGGAUUAAUAGUAAAUACAAAUGCACAUUUAGAACUGAUUUAGCCAAAAAUAAGACCACAUUUAUUAUACAGACUCAACUGUCAAAGGUGGGUUCUAUUCUUGGAUAAAGACAAGCUUCUUACAGCUAGACAAUCAAUUUGUGUGAUCAAACUAUGAAGCAGUUUUGCUUUGGAGGACCUAGUGUCUUUCAGAGUAGCUUCAAUCAAAAGAGUCACUAGUCAACACAGUGUCUAAGUGGUCUUGAUCCUUGUCCUUUGUGUGGUGGCACUACAGAUUUAUUCACAAAAUAUAGCUGGGAUGUUGAAAAAGUGAUAAUAGCCUUACUAUCUUUUAUUUCAUGUGCUGUAUUGAUAAAACAUAUUUACCAUGCCCUUUUCUCUGUUGAAUAAACUGUUACUUAUUUAAAAAAAAGUA